rnacentral:lncRNA from 1 species
GUUUGUCAAUUUGUAAUACAUGUUUUUAAUGUAUUAUUUUAUUUAUCUUUACUAGUAUAAUUCAUGUACAUGAUAUAGUUUGGGAUGCGAUGAACGUAAUUGAUAAUUUUUAUGCCGAUACUUAUGCACUGUAAGGUCGUUUGCUUUUUUCUAUAUAUACUAGAUUUAUUAAUAAAAAUAACAUUGGACAAGACAUAUAUAUUAUAUAUACCGAUGAUAUUUUAAAGUUCAUACUCUUCAUUUAAUACAUGAUAAAAACAUCUUUUCUGUUUAAUGGUUGAUUAUUAAAGAAGAGAAACUAUGAUAAUUUAAUUAUCGCAUAUUAUUCCUUAACAUUCGUUAUGUUUGUGGUCCUUGAGUAAGACCAAGUUUGUUUUUUAAUGGGAAUUUAAUUUCAUUCAUUAUUUUAUAUUCUUUUUGUUUGUUUAUUUCAUGCCUUAACUAUGGACGAAGAGCGCUAAGAAUGGUAUUCAUCUACGAAAGAACUUUCCCCAUUGAAGGACAUGUGCAAUAAAGCGUGAUAUCAACAACUUACAUAUACUUUCAUUUGUCAGCGGUAUGCCAUAAGUCCGAUAAUACAAACAAAACGAAUAUUGAUGGGUUGCUGUUUCACUGACAUUAAUGACACUUACCUAAUUUAGAUUAGAAUUUUGAUCCAGAAGUGCGAGUCGUAUCAACAUUGACUAACCAAUGCCUAAUUUUACUGUUUUAUAAAUACAAAUUUACAAAAUACGACUUCGAUCAGCAUUUUGAUACACAACUUGACCCUAGUUACAAUGAAAGCUCAAAGCACCUAUUGUUAUUCCACCAUCUCUUUAAAGUUGACUAUGUCGUUAAUUGUCCAGGGCUCUCGUUACUUAAUUACAGCACUUAGUUUUAGAGGAAGGAAAAUAAAACAAACAAAGACUUCUGCCGCAGUUCAUGGAUGGAAUGGUCCUAUUAGUAUCCGUGAUUCAAGGAUUGAAGUCAAAUACGUUUAUGGAAUUUUACAGCUAAAAAGAAUAAAUUUAGUAUCAGAACUUUAUACUUCAGCUGUUGCGGGUCAGUAUUACCUGACAAAACAUUAUGAUCUUUAUUUCAUACCAUUACAACUGUCUUAUUUUGGGUCAGCAUUGCCUGCCAAAACGUUUUAUGAUCUUUAUUUCAUAUAAUUACAACUGUCUUGUUAAGGGUCAGCAUUGCUUGCCAAAACAUUUUAUUAUCUUUAUUUCUUAUAUUACAACUGUCUUGUUUUGGGCCAGCAUUGCCUGCCAAAACGUUUUAUUAUCUUUAUUUCUUAUAAUUACAACUGUCUUGUUUUGGGUCAGCAUUGCCUGCCAAAACGUUUUAUGAUUUUAUUUCAUAUAAUUACAACUGUCUUGUUUUGGGUCAGCAUUGCCUGCCAAAACGUUUUAUGAUCUUUAUUUCUUAUAAUUACAACUGUCUUGUUUUGGGUCAGCAUUGCCUGCCAAAACAUUUUAUGAUUUUUAUUUCAUAUAAUUACAACUGUCUUGUUUUGGGUCAGCAUUGGCUGCCAAAACGGUUUUCAUCUUUAUUUCACAUAAUUUCAACUGUAUCUUGUUUUGGGUCAGUAUAGCCUGCUAAAACGUUUGUGAUCUUUAUUUCAUACGAUUUGUGUCUUUAUUGCCGCCCUCCUGUCGAUGCUGUCUUUAGACAUUGUUGGGGGUGUCAAUGGGAUCAUUCGAUAGGCUACCUUAAAAUUAUUUUUUAAUUUCAUGGCUCGGUUUAACUUCAUGUAUGUAUACAUGAAUAGUUCGUAAAUCAUGUUAUGGUUUUUAAUGUUGCCUAUCUAAUUCAUAUUAAUUAUUCAAAUUAUAAAUAUAAAAAGACUUGAUGGUUUAUUCCAAUGUUGUCUAAAUGCUAUGGUCUUUAGAGGUAAAUCCAUCACAAACCAAAGUUUUUAUAUUUAACUAAACUGGUUAUUAACUAAAUUGGAUUUUUC